CGCGUAGGCGGGAUGGCAAGUCGGUCGUGAAAUCCUUCGGCUCAACCGAAGAACGUCGAUCGAUACUGCUGUUCUUGAGGGUUGCGGAGGAGACUGGAAUUCCCGGUGUAGCGGUGAAAUGUGUAGAGAUCGGGAGGAACACCGGUGGCGAAGGCGGGUCUCUGGGCAAUUCCUGACGCUGAGGCGCGAAAGCGUGGGGGAGCAAACGG
rnacentral:rRNA from 1 species